GCCCCGUGCGGGCAGGUGCUGCGGUUGCCCCUCGGCCUGGACGCCCCCAGGGCAGGGUGCAGGGGCCCCAGACACAUGAGCAGCUACUUGAAGGCAGCCCGGUCCUAGCCAGGCUGGGGUAGAUCAGCUGCUACGUCCUGUGGCACUGCGUGAGGUCCGCCAGGCUGUGCUGACUUGUCCCGCAGCCCUCGCUGUAAGGCAGCCGCCAGGAGCUCUGCUGUUCAGGGUGCCCCGUGUCCCCAGCAUGCACCCCGACAGCCAGGGAACCCGCCUCAGCCUUGCAGGUGGCAUCAAAUGAACCAGGCUCCCUCCUGGCCACCAAAGCAGGGCUGGUAUUGGCCGCCUCUAGUGGGAGGACAGGUGGUUCUUUGUACCUGGAGGUAGAUGGGGCCAAGAGGUGGCAGCUCGUGUUGCAGCCAGGGUGACUCUGUCUGGGGGGCUUCUAUUUCAUCUGGAGAAACACAAGAAAAGCCAAAGCGAGUUCCUCCGAACGGUACCCCUGUUUCUGAGGAGAUUAGCAAUCAGGCAACGUUUCCAAAGCAGCCGCGUGCAGCAGAGAAUACGCAGGCCGACUUGCUGCUGCGUGGCGAGGACACGGGCCCCUCAAUCCGCUUCAUGCAACUUACUGACUCCCAGCCCUGUGCCUGCGCGUGUGGACAAGUUUUAUACAGUUCAGAUGUUCAAAAGACACAACGAUCAGAGGACAAGCUGCUGGAGUGUCUGGGAAUGGUGAUCUAUAAUGCCCUGGACUGGGGCAUUGACAGCCAUAUGGAGCGAGAGCUGAGCAAACCCCUGGAAAACCUGAUUUCCCUCAUGCUGAAACUAGAUGUUGAAGCAACAACACCAGCAAUCAGUCUUCAGGAUGUCAUGAAGGUUUUUUGGAUCUGUGAGGAGCAUGUGUCCUUGCCCUCGGAGGCCUCCAGCCAUUACAGAACAAUCUCUAGGGCUCUCUUUGCUGACUACAUGGAUUUUCAGCAACUCACAUUUACCAUCCAGAACUCCAAAGAGAGUCUGAAAAGAAUGGAUGUGGUAGCUUUGCUGGAAAAUCCUUCCCAGAAGAAGGCAAAUUGCUGGGCUGCCUUGUGGCACGAUGUUGUCCGUGAACUGCAGAAGGGAGUGAAGCUGCGCAAGGCCACAGAACAGCCACAGCAUAACAGUCCUCGAAAAGAGUCUGCCCGCUCCCCCUUUGAGAUGCUGGCAGAUGACAUCCGACACAAAAGGCAUACUCUCCAGAAGGUGAAGAUCAACAGUGAGCAAAAGAUCAGGAGCUCUGAAGAAAACAUAAUCCCUCUAAAGCCACCUUUAAAGCCAGUGGUAGAGAGAAAACUGAAGGACCGUUUCCCGCAGGAACCUAGUCAGCAUGAGCUGCUCAUGAUGGAAAUAAAACAGCCACACCAGCUUCGGCCAUCUCCCACAGCAAGAAAUGGAAGUAGGCCCAAAGAUGCUUCUGUGACACUAAACAUCUUUAAUUCUCCUUGUGACAGUGGUUUAUCUGUUCAAAAUGCCAGUACAGGACUUCAUGCUCACAAAGCUGAAAACUGGCUGCUGGGUUCUGACCUGCUGGGCCAAGAAUUUCAGGAAGGAGGUUGGCCAUUGGAAAAUGCCCAGAGAGUGACCUCAGAAAGGUCAUCGUCACAGAAUUGCAACAGCAGAGGUUUCUCUGCAGACUGCAAGUUUACUCCCACAGGAAUUUCAGUGCCAAGUGACCUCAACACACAUAGCUUUCUGAAUCCAAACCAUCAGCAACCUUCCUGCCAAAGGAGAUCGAUGUCUAUAGGGAGUGCCCUGAAAAGCAAGGAGCAUGAGAGAGAGAAUUCUACAAAGUGGCCAUUGCCAACUAUUACUGAUCUGAUUGGAACCCGAUAUGCCAUGAUGGCAUCUGAAAUGGAGAUUGCUUUCCAAAGAUAUGGUUGCAGUAUAUCUUCAAGAGCCAAGGUCUGUUUCAGUUGCCAUAAGCAGAUGUUCUUUAAAUGGCCUUACAGCUGUCAUCUCUGUAGCAGGGCGGUUGAACAGGCUUUCAGACUUCCAGUGCCCCUCUUCCAGUCACAACAGUCUCGCACCUUCUACCAAAAAACCCUGAUGGUACAAUCCAACAGAAGGAGAAAGUGGAACCAAUUGUCAACACAAGAGCCACCCUACAGAUAGCAUGCUAACAACAUAUGGGAGAAUCGGGACAGUACCAAUUGGAACAAUAUCAUUAACUGACCUAAUGAAUGGUGCUUGAUACUUGAUAGCAUUUCCAUCAGGUCUCUCAACUACACAGUUGGUCCUCUGUAAGAUAUCACAAAAAAUCCUUGUCCUCAAGGUCUCAGCACAGAACAUCACUUGAUCUUGCUUCAAAUGUUUAGGAUCUGCAGCCUGAUGAAUCAUGAAUAUAGGCUUGUGACCUGCAAAGUGUAUAAGUGUUAUCUGCUGUGACUGCUGCAUCAAGAUGUCAAUGCCCUUCAGACAGUGUGUACAUCUCCCACUCGGCUUCCUAAAACCACUA